GGAGUAGAAGAAGAUGAUCUUAUUUCUUAUAUCCUUGUAGGUCUUGGAGCAGAAUAUGAUCCCGUAGUUGUCAAUAUAACUGGCAGGACUUACCAACUUACCUUGCAGGAGGUGUUUUCCUUGCUACUCAAUC
rnacentral:snoRNA from 1 species